rnacentral:rRNA from 1 species
CAGGUGAUGGUGCGGAUUUUGGUUAAGUUUGAUUUUGUCUUUAAUAAUUGGCUUAAAUUAGAUAAUUUUAUAUACAAGUUUUUGCGUGUUGUUCAAGUAUCUUAAAGAUAUUUUAGUUUAUUUGUAGUUUUUGGUUUUGUUAAUUUUUGGUAACAUAGAUUCAGUUAAUUUAUUAUAGAAUUGUGGAAAGUUGUGCCAGCAUAAGCGGUUAUACAAUUGAUUCAAGUUAAUUUUUUUGGUUAGUAUUAAUUUAUUGUUUUGGGAAUUU